rnacentral:rRNA from 1 species
CAAUAGCGUAUAUUUAAGUUGUUGCAGUUAAAAAGCUCGUAGUUGGAUUUCGGGUGGGACGCAGCGGUCUCGCAUUGCGUUUGUACUGCUGCAGCCCUCCUUCUUGCCGGGGGCGGCCUCUCGGACUUCACUGUCUGGGGGUCAGAAUCGGCGAUGUUACUUUGAGUAAAUUAGAGUGUUCAAAGCAAGCUUACGCUCUGAAUAUAAUAGCAUGGGAUAACACGACAGGACUCUGGCCUAUCGUGUUGGUCUAUAGGACCAGAGUAAUGAUUAAUAGGGACUGUCGGGGGCAUUGGUAUUUGACUGUCAGAGGUGAAAUUCUUAGAUUCGUUGAGGACCAACCACUGCGAAAGCAUUUGUCAAGGAUGUCUCCAUUAA